UUUUUUUAUUUUUAUACAGAAUAUUCUGAUUUUCGAGACACACGUGAAGAAAAUUUCACAACAUUUAAAAUAUCUGAUUUAAUCCAGUGUCUAAGCAUAAAUAACAAAGAUGUCAGGAAGAGAAGGUGGUAAGAAGAAGCCCUUGAAGGCACCAAAGAAAGAAAGAGGAGAUAUGGAUGAGGAUGACCUUGCUUUCAAACAAAAACAGAAAGACGAACAGAAGAAAUUAGCUGAAGCAAAAGCCAAAGCAGGAGGGAAAGGACCGAUGGGGAGCAGUGGAAUAAAGAAAUCUGGGAAGAAAUGACAGCUGCUACAACACCAACCGAUUUUAACUGACUAUUUGAUUAUUGUUACAUGAUUUAUAUUUUCCGUAUUAUGUGCAAUCUUAUUGACAUUUUGGUUGUAAUAAUUUCAUUACCAUAACUUCAAAUGUGGUUCCUGCUUUCUGACUUUUUUUUUAUCAUGUUCUAUAAUAUCUUGUAUUUUGAAAAGAAGGUUUAAAAACAAUGUCAUUUUAAAAGCAUAUGAAAUAUUAAAACUGUUUAUACGUGAAGUUUUAACAUCAAGUUCCCCUGAGAGUGAUGUAUCAUUUCCUGAAGUUGAUCACCUGAAUUGCUAUUUAUUGUCAUUGCAUUUGAAAUACGGUUCAUAUCAGUGGUGCUUUGCCAAAAUGAUAUUUUAAUCUGAAAUGUCUAUAUAUUUUUCAAUACUUUGAGAUGUUUCAGAGUUGUCAGGAAAAAUAUUGUUAAUAAACAUUUUUAUAGUUC